rnacentral:lncRNA from 1 species
UGCAGCUGUCACUUGGUGGGUGACAUUUGAACUUUCUGUCAUUGACUUUGUCAUUGGUUUCUCUUUUGCCCUCAGGAAAAAUUCCAAAUUCCUUAGCAUGGAAUAAAAAUACCCAAGUCUGUUUGGCUCUUGAGGAAGGAUUCAGCCUAUCUCCCUCCUCUGCCCCUUUCCUCUGUCUAGCAUCCAUCAGACAGACAGCUGACAAUUCCAGACAGCUCUGCCUCACCUCUGCCCUUUGUGUUUGCUUCUUCCCUCCAUUUCCCAAACUUUUUCCUGUCCUUCACGCAUCUAUAUCCAUAUCACCUCCACCCAAAAGCUGGCAAUAUUGACACCAAGCUGGAUGUCCCUUCUAAGUGUACCAAUCGUGUCCUCGUUUGUACCUGUCAUAGGACUUAUGACUCUGUAUGGAAAUGACCUGUUCAUCUAUUUUUCCAGUUGAGAGUAUGCGAUUCUUCAGGGUGGCCUGUGUCACCUUCCACUUGUCAUUCCAGUGCUUGUCACAGCAGCUUAGCAUCUGGAUGUGGAGUAAAUGAAUGGGGAAUGAGAAAACCGGAAGCUCCAGUACUCAGCCUCAAGAGCAGUUAGCUCAGCAUGUAACCACGGGGACAAAUGCUGCUGCUGAAUUUGAAUCUGGAUCCUACGGAGCUUCUCCUCCAAGGUCUACCGAUGAUCAGCUUGUGAAAGCAUCCCAAGAAUAUGCACAGAUUCUGAAGAAAAAUUAUAUGAUCUGAAAGAUAAACAGUUGUUUCCCAUUAAAACAAAAUGUGAAAAUUUUUAUGAAAGGAAAAUACGUUUGUAUCAUCUGUGUAUGAUGAGAAUGUAUGUAGUAUUUUAUACCAUGUUUCUCUGCAUCUAACUUACUUUUAAGCAGAUUUUGUGAAUAAAAACCAGCACAGUUGAGUUUGACAUACUCCAACUGUCAUCAUUUUUCUCAUUUGUUUUAUUCCAGGUGUAAAUUAUAAUGCAUUAACUCCCAAGAGUUUUCUAUUGGAAAAUGACUAUUUAUGAAGUUCUUCAUGAUCAGUUAUCUUUGCACAUACUGCCACAGUCAAGAGAAGUCUCCAAAGUUGAAAGUAAAUACUUUAUGGUUCACCUGCACUAUUUUGAGAAGUGGAAGUAUCUAGCAGUUUUAUAGUUGAUCCUAAUUCAGAUAGGUGCUGGAUUUUAGUUACCCUGAUUUGCGGUUAGUUUUGAGAUAAGAAAAAGACAGCAGGCCGAUUUCCC